AAGAACCACCCAGCUGAGCCCAGUCAACUCACAGAACCAUGAAAGGCUUUCUACAGCACAAGAGGUAAUCAUUUUUGUCAGUAAUGUGGCCAAAAUAUUCCAGAGAUGUAGCUGAAUAUCUCAAUGGACAUAACAUGAGGUCAAAUUAUUCUCCUACUCUUGGAAUGCCAGAGAUAAUGAAGUCACAAUUUCCAACGUGUUCAUUAGAAAUUUAUUGUUAUAGAGAGAACCAGCUUUGAAAUAUUCAAGGAAGCUUGAAAAGGUGUUCUUUGGUCCCGGGGCUGCCACAGAGAGUGCACAAAAGAUUGGAAACACCAGGAGCAAAUUCCCAUCAGUGAG